rnacentral:tRNA from 1 species
AGAAUUGUGAUUGAAGCUGCUAACUUUAAUCGGGGGCAAUGUGGCUCCACUUCUAC